GAGACGCUGAGCUGGAGCAGCUUUCACACACACAGGAUCACAUCCAUUUCCUGCAGAGUUUCCCGUCUCUCUCAGCUCCUCCUGAAUCUACAGACGUAAAUGACGAUCCCUUCAGUUCUCUCUCCUCUUUUGAUGGUGUGAGAGAAUUUGUUUGUCAGCUGAGAGACAAACUGGAGGAUUUCUGCAAAGAGGAAGCUCAAGAAGAUCUCUGACAGAGUCACUUUCACCAACAUUGUUCCCAGGACCAGGAACGACUUCCUACAAUAUUCCCAUCAGCUCACUCUGGAUCUGAACACAGUGAAUAAACGCCUCCGGCUGUCUAAGAAGAAUAGAGUGAUUACACGCACUGGCACAGAGCUUCAGCCAUAUCCUGAUCAUCCAGACAGAUUUGAUGAAUGUAAUCCUCAGGUGUUGUGUAGAGAGAGUGUGUGUGAUCGACGCUGUUACUGGGAGAUUGAGUGGAGUGGUGUUGGUGUAUUAAUAUCAGUGUCAUAUAAGAGCAUCAGGAGGAAGGGAGGGGAUAAUAAGUGUUGGUUUGGAUCUAAUGAUCAGUCCUGGAGUUUGUUCUGCUCUUCCUCCAGUUACUCAUUCAGACACAAUAACAUAAAGACUGAAUUCCCUGUAAAGUCGAUCAGCUGUAGAAUAGGAGUGUAUGUGGAUCACAGUGCAGGAACUCUGUCCUUCUACAGCGUCUCUGGAGACACAAUGAGCCUCAUCCACACAGUCCAGACCACAUUCACUCAACCGCUCUAUCCUGGGUUUGGGGAUUUAUAUUGUUGGAUCAUCAAUGAAACUGUGUUGAUGAAUCAGAACAGACUCUAGAGAGAUUCUUUCCAUAAUGCUUUGAGCUCAUGAUAAAUUAGAAACAGUGAGAUGUUAUAGAGUGUCUUAUUUUCUCUUCAUUACAUUAAUACUACAGCUGAACUUCUGUCAGUGAAAUAACAUCAGAAUAAAUGUAACUCUUUAGAUUACAGCCCGCAAAGUACUGCGUCAGUAAAAUUAAUUCACAGCAUAAUUUCAGUAAUUAUAGAGUACCUAUAGAGUAUGUAUGUGUAGGUAUAAGGACACAAUAUGUAAAGUUUGGGGAAUAAAGGGGUAACAACCAGGAAAAUUAACAAAUUAUUUAUACUGUAAAUAUUUUAGAAUGCUUAUUACAAUAAGUACACAGAAAAAUCUCCAGAGUUAAAUCAACUCUGCUCAGAGUACAUAUGGUCCCUCU